rnacentral:lncRNA from 1 species
GUUUCUCAGUAUUUUGAUCAUAGUGAAUGUGCUUUAGUGUGGAUUACGUUCAGUCAUCUGUAUGAUUAUGAAGCAUAAGGACUGUUCAUACUCACUGCACUCUUCAAGCUAAUACUGAACGACUGAUCCUGACAGCAGUGCACAUACAAAAUGCAUGAGCGCUGACAGAUACUAUAUGCUGAACUGAUCUGUAAUGCUAAUAAAUGAAGAACAUGCAUCAUCUGUACUUUAUUUCCCUGGAGUCACACCUGCUGGAGCCCCCGGAGCUCAGUGUGGUUCAGCGCUGGAGAAACGGCUGAGAUAUCUCGACUCAAAGAACACAAGUCCUCCAUCUUGGACUGUUUGUCAGGGAUUUUUGGCGUUUUGAGCACAACAAAGAGACGCGAAUCCGCUUGAAAUCUGCGUCUGAAUCAGAUGACUGAAUAAAUGAACGACAGUCCAAAAGCGGGAAAACGGAGGAUGACGGGAAAUGUGGGUCAUCGGCUGACAGAAAUGUGACGCGCUUUGAACACAAACGUCACAUUAAAGAGGUGAAUAUAUGAGCUCAGCAUCACGGAGAAUCUCUAAUUCACUUCUGUCUCUGUUUCUGUCGGUCUGUCUGCGCAAAAUAACUCCAGCAGAAAAACACUCAUCCGAUUAUUCCCCGUAGGAAAGUUUGAUAUUAAUUAAAAAGGUUUAAUUACUGUCUCUCAGGC